GCUUUCUGCGGACUAGGAGAGAUUUUUUUUGUUUUUACUUUAUGACGAAGUUGUUGCUCUAUCUUUUACUAAUAACUCUACCAUUCGUAGAGGGAGGUCCCUUUUUAUAUGGGCUAUGCCAAAAAGACUGCAGCGUAGUAGUAGACACCUGCUACUCCGCGGCUGAUGCGGUAUUCUGGACAGUCAUCGAAAGGACUGGGGCCCCAGCAGCAAUUUCUAACUGCAGUACCGCAUUUGUCAAAUGUUUGGCGGCAUGCUUCGCUGUUCUC